rnacentral:sRNA from 1 species
UAACCACGGAUGAUCCUGACCGCGAUGGUU